GACGAACGCUGGCGGCGUGCUUAACACAUGCAAGUCGAACGGUAAGGCCCUUCGGGGUACACGAGUGGCGAACGGGUGAGUAACACGUGGGUGAUCUGCCCUGCACUUCGGGAUAAGCCUGGGAAACUGGGUCUAAUACCGGAUAGGACCACUGCCUGCAUGGGUGGUGGUGGAAAGCUUUUGCGGUGUGGGAUGGGCCCGCGGCCUAUCAGCUUGUUGGUGGGGUGAUGGCCUACCAAGGCGACGGCGGGUAGCCGGCCUGAGAGGGUGACCGGGCACACUGGGACUGGGAUACGGCCCAGACUCCUACGGGAGGCAGCGGUGGGGAAUAGUGCACAAUGGGCGGAAGCCUGGUGCAACGACGCCGCGUGAGGGAUGACGGCCUUCGGGUUGUAAACCUCUUUCAGCACCGACGAAGCGCAAGUGACGGUAGGUGCAGAAGAAGGACCGGCCAACUACGUGGCAGCCGCCGCGGUAAAAC
rnacentral:rRNA from 1 species